rnacentral:rRNA from 1 species
AUGCCAAGUGAUAUUGGUGCCUGUAUUACUCCGCCGGACCCAGCUGAUGCGUUGGCGAUUGUUGCCAUUGUGGAAGAGCAACAAACAAAUGAAAACUCGGACUCUAAUCAGCAAGAAGAAAAUAUCAACUCCAACAUCGGCGAUGACAAUGUAAGUGGCUCCGAGAAUGUAAGUAAUUCGUCGGAUGCACAUGCCCAAUCUGCUAGUGUUGAUGAACAACCAGUUUAUACUGCCGAUAUUUAUGAUCCAAAAAGCUGGGAUAAUCUUGAUAAUAAAGCAAGAGAUAUCUUAGUUGAGAAAGGGCCUAUCAGAGAGGAAAAAAUGGAAUACCAUGUAGAUGAAACAGGAAGACAUUUUUCGUAUGCUCAUUAUCAUAGAUUUAAAGAACUCAUGGUCUUUAAAGAUAUAUUCGGAUUUUUAUUGAGCUCGGGCACUCUCACGUCAUUAAGUGACAAUGAACUUGAAGAAUGUUGCACAAAAUUUGCAGAAACUUUCUCUCUUAAUGGUUCAUCUGAUGUUGAGGUAUACGAUCUUAUUUCUGAAUUGAAGAUUAUGAGAUUCACUUUGCCAGAUGGCGCAAUGUCUGCUAUGGAGAUUUUCAGGCAUGUCAGAGAAGUUGAUUGUUACCCCAAUAUAUCCAUUGCCUAUCGCAUCUUAUUUAUUGUGCCUGUGACGGUCGCAUCGGCCGAGAGAAGCUUUUCAAAGUUGAAAUUAUUGAAGAAUUAUUUGAGGUCAACCAUGACUCAAGAGAGGUUAAAUGGUUUGGCCAUAUUAUGCAUCGAGAAGAAAUUAUUGGAUGAGAUUGACAUCGACCCCAUCAUAAGUGACUUUGCAUCGAGGAAUGUUAGAAGAAAAUUUUAA